rnacentral:tRNA from 1 species
GCUCCUAAAGGAUAACAGCUUCAUCCACUGGUUUUAGGUACCAGAGAAUCUUGGUGCAAUUCCAAGUAGUAGCU